UAAUACGUAGGGUGCGAGCGUUAAUCGGAAUUACUGGGCGUAAAGCGUGCGUAGGUGGUUCGUUGUGUCUGUGGUGAAAGCCCCGGGCUUAACCUGGGAAUGGCCAUGGAAACUGGCGAGCUGGAGUCUGGCAGAGGGGGGUGGAAUUCCGCGUGUAGCAGUGAAAUGCGUAGAGAUGCGGAGGAACACCGAUGGCGAAGGCAGCCCCCUGGGCUAAGACUGACGCUGAGGCACGAAAGCGUGGGGAGCAAACAGGAUUAGAUACCCUGGUAGUCCACGCCCUAAACGAUGUCAACUGGGUGUUCGGGAAGCGAUUCCUGGGUACCGUAGCUAACGCGUGAAGUUGACCGCCUGGGGAGUACGGCCGCAAGGUUA
rnacentral:rRNA from 1 species